AACGGUAAAAUGCUGUGUUGUAUUAAAAAAAAAGAAGGAUUUUUUUCUAAUCUAAUGCUUAUUACAGCCUGAGCCAUACCAGAAAGGCUUCCCGCCCAAAAGACGCCACCAUUCCUUUGUUCCGGUCUCAUCUUACCCGGCCACUGUAUCUUAUGAUCCUAACACCGCUGCAGAGCAACUAAAGGCUACGGAAGACUUAGUUUCAUUGUAUUUGACGCCUGAGGACGAUUUCACACAGUCACCCCCAUGGAGCAGAAACGGAUGUCUACACAAGCCUAAGAAGGGAUCUAAGAAGAGAUCUAUUGAGCCUGAGAAGCCAUACAUGGACGGUCUCCCGCCCAAAAGACGCCGCCCUUCCUUUGUUCCAGACUCCUCUUACAAGGCCUCUGUAUCUUAUGUUCCUAACACACUUGCAGAGACAAUCCAUGCCGUAGAAGCCGGAGAAGGGUCUGAAGACACAGGACUAACAGCAACAGCACCUACAUACCACCAACCAAAUCGGGGAGCUACAGGAGAAGGGUCUGAAGACACAGGACUAACAGCGGCAGCGCCUACAUCCCCCCAACCAAAUCGGGGAGCUACAGGAGAAGGGUCUGAAGACACCGGACUAGCAGAGACACCGCUUACAGCCCACCAAUCGAGUCAGGCAUCUUUGCAGGCGGUCCCUGAAUAUAAUGUGGUCCGAUAGCUGAUAGAGAGCUCUACAGAGAGGAAAACUGGCUAACCACAGAAAGCCUGUGCUGUGAGGACAUUGCACUGAUGAAGCAUACAGCUGAUGAAGCAAUUGUCAAGGAGAAGAUGAAGCAGACCUUCAGCUAUCGUCAAAAGAUGGUUCAUGACCCAAUUAAGGCCUCUGAAAUAUUCACAGCUUUUCCAA